rnacentral:misc_RNA from 1 species
GAUGAAGAACGUAGCGAAAUGCGAUAAGUAGUGUGAAUUGCAGAAUUCCGUGAAUCAUCGAAUCUUUGAACGCACAUUGCGCCUCCUGGUAGUCCGGGAGGCAUGCCUGUUCGAGCGUCACCAAAUCCAACUCAAGCGGUUUUGCGCUUGGUCGUGGCGGAAGAGUCGGUCUGGUUGCCGUCUCCCCUCCGAAAAUCAACGGCGGAAAGUCACUGGCAGUCAGCGUAGUAGUAUCGUUCGCCGAACAUCCAGUGGCAUUCCUGCCGACGUACCCCCACAAUUCUCGUGAUUGACCUCGGAUCAGGUAGGGAUACCCGCUGAACUUAAGCAUAUAAUAAGCGGAGGA